rnacentral:lncRNA from 1 species
CUGUUAUAUCUUUACUAUAUGUAUAAUUUUAUGAUACAUGUAUUACAUACAUUCAUAUAUAAAUGGUCAUUUAAAACGUAUAUUAUACCUUUGUAUUAUUCACACACCCCUUAAAUAUAGAUGUUUAUUAAAAGAUUAGUUUCCGAUCAUCAUGCUAAGGUGUAUUUCGACAGAAUAUCCCAACAAGGUAAUACAUAGAAUUCCAG